rnacentral:rRNA from 1 species
UACGUAGGGUGCGAGCGUUGUCGGGAAUUAUUGGGCGUAAAGGGCUCGUAGGCGGUCUGUCGCGUCGGGAGUGAAAACUCAGGGCUUAACCCUGAGCCUGCUUCCGAUACGGGCAGACUAGAGGUAUGCAGGGGAGAACGGAAUUCCUGGUGUAGCGGUGAAAUGCGCAGAUAUCAGGAGGAACACCGGUGGCGAAGGCGGUUCUCUGGGCAUUACCUGACGCUGAGGAGCGAAAGUGUGGGGAGCGAACAGG